UGCCCCACUCCCACUAUCAUUUUCCAUGUUCAAUGGACCGUGAAAUUGGAUAAAAAAUAUAAUUAGGCAUUAAAAUUAGAAAGAUAAUAUCAUAGGGAACAUUUGUACUAAGUUUCAAGUUGAUUGGACUUCAACUUCAUCAAAAACUACCUUGACCAAAAACUUUAACCUGAAACAUGCACUUUCAUUUUCUAUGUUCAGUGGACCGUGAAAUUGGGGUCAAAAGUUUAAUUUGGCUUUAAAAUUAGAAAGAUAAUAUCAUAAGGAACAUGUGUACUAAGUUUUAAGUUGAUUGGACUUCAACUUCAUCAAAAACUACCUUGACCAAAAACUUUAACCUGAAACAUGCACUUUCAUUUUCUAUGUUCAGUGGACCGUGAAAUUGGGGUCAAAAGUUUAACUUGGCUUUAAAAUUAGAAAGAUAAUAUCAUAAGGAACAUGUGUACUAAGUUUCAAGUUGAUUGGACUUCAACUUCAUCAAAAACUACCUUGACCAAAAACUUUAACCUGAAGCGGGACAGACGGACGAACGAACAGACGAAUGAACGAACGAACAGACGGACGGACGAACGGACGCACAGACCAGAAAACAUAAUGCCCCUCUACUAUCGUAGGUGGGGCAUAAAAACAAUUA
rnacentral:lncRNA from 1 species